UAAUCACACCCUCAAUUAGCGCUAACCUCUCACAUCUAAUCCCAUCCCCAAUUAGCGCGUCCCAACCUUCCCAAAUCGCGGUCUCAGCUCUGCUCCGCCCUCGCCCACCCGCCCGUUUCGCAUGCCCCCAAAUCCACCGUGGUCGCGCCGCCGUAGCAGCAGCACCACCCCGUCAUCGGCGGCAGGAGGAACAGCAGCAACGAGGAGGCGUUUCAGGAGGUGGACCCGACCGGGCGGUUCGGGCGGUACGCGGCCAUGCCGGGAUGGGCUCCGUCAAGAAGGUUCGACCAGGAGGAGUGCAUCGAGGUGGCGUGGAACCGGGUGCGCCUGCGCGCGCUGGACCCCGCCAUGGUCGACCGCCGCCAUGCCGAGGUGCGCCUUCUCCGCUCCCUCCAUCGUGACCACAUCAUAGGCUUCCAAGAGGUCUGGCUCGACCACGACGCUGGCGUGCUGAACUUCAUCACCGAGGUCUGCAACUCGGCGAGCCUCCGCGAGUAUUUCGACCGCCACAAGCACGUCUCCGUCAGAGCGCUCAAGAAGUGGGCGCUCCUUGAGGGCCUUGACCACCUCCACACCCGCGACCCCUGCAUCAUCCACCGCGACCGUACUUGCAGCAACGUCUUCAGCAACGGCAACACCGGCCAUGUAAUACCUGCGCCAAUCAAUCUCGCUCGCCUAGCUAAUUGCCUAUCCUCGCACACUUCUUGGUUCGGACAGCCUCAACGGCGACGAGGACAACAGUAGGAUCUAACACUUGGCAGAGAUCGUGAAUUUUCUCGGUAUCAUGCAAAGCGAUUCAGAUUCAGCGGGCGCCAUCUUUUGUGGUGUUGCAUGCCAGAGGCAGGCAGUUGGAGCUUCUCCGUCUAAUUGUUAACUUGGUGGAAGCUAGCUGCUAUACUGACAACCUAGAGUGGAGGUUGGUUUAACACUUCACUCUUUGUAGUAUAAUUUCUCUAUGCUGAUUAUACAAAACCAUUAGUCAGGUUCUCAUAAUCGGUAGCUAUUUUUUGUUAAACAUUUUACAGCAUUGUAAGCAAAAAAUAUUUUUGAUGCAAAAUGUACUUCGUUGUACAGAAAGUAUUAGAUGAUGUUUUAACCUCAGUGUUGGAGCAUCUGACACAUACAUUACCUGACAAAUUGCUCCCUCACAGUGUCGUUGAUGAGCAGUUAGAAAGGAUGUACAACUUGUAGAUUCCAUUGCCAUACAUUACCUGACAAAUUGCUCCCUCGCAAUGUCGUUGAUGAGCAGUUAGAAAGGAUGUACAACUUGUAGAUUCCAUUGCAGAGAAACAUGCAUAGAUCUUUUUUCAGAAGAGUGCAAGUCUUUUCCUGCUGCUGUCCAAAUACAACCAAUUUACCCCCUGUAAGUGAACCCAAUUUUAUGUUCUUGUCAGAUGCAUUAUUUAGAAGGCACAAAUUUCAAGAAUCUGUGUUGCUGUUUUGUGACCCCCCAUAUGACAAGCAAUUUCAAGAACCACCACCAUUUCAAUGUGAACAUAGAAUAAAUAUAGUAUGGGUGUUUAAAAAUCUUCCCUUUAUGACUGUUUGGAAAUCUAAAGUGUCAAUAUUGUUCUAGUUCUAAAUGAUUUUUUUGUAUCAGAUAUAAAAAUAGCAGUCAAAUUUCGGAGUAAUUACAGUGCAUAGUUGGUUAAUUUAUUCAGAAAGGGGAGAAUCAUAAGUAGUUGUUUGCACUUUAAAGCUUUGCUCGGUUUCUUGUUUAGCUCAUUUCUGUUAACUUUUGUACAGCCAAAUCAGGAGCUUGGAUGAUGUCAGGUUGAAUCUUGAGUUUCUCAAGUACUUGUGAUGGUAUUCUCUUAUAUAUCUAACUAAGAAGAUGUAGAUAAUAAAAAAAUUUAUUUGUUUUGUAUAACUUUACUGCGCAUAUGUGUAUGAGUGUAUGUUCAGAUUGUUCAACACCCCCUUUAUUUUUCUAUCACGUGCCAUUUUGUAUUUGUACAACUUGCAUUGAGGGAGUGCAGCAAAUCGAGGACUCACCAUGAUGAUGUGCAUUCUAAGAAAAAUAUAAUCAAUUUCCUAUCACUUAAGAUACCUUUACUAGCGGAACAAUGGAAUUGUGUGUACAAAAUCUUUCUUUCAUAGCAAUUAUCCAUGCUGAUAAAAUAUUCGUCCUUCAUGUUUUGCAGAAUAGUUCAGUGAAAUGUACAAAGGGAUAACCUUGGAUGCAGUGGUGGAGCAUAGGCGGGACACUACUGCUCCUUGCCCCCACCUCCCUUCCUAGAGGAAAUUUUACCAAAUAUGCUUAUAUUUCUGCUAAUCGUUCUACUAACCCUCUGGUGUCUCUGAUCACCCUAGCCUUUUUUAUGUCAUACACUCAUUUUGGCCCCUCCUAAUAUCUGGUUCAUGCUCCCCCACAACUUGGAUUGUGAAGACUUGCUUAGUCCAUCCUUUUGCUUUGCUUACUAAUGAUGCCCCAAGAUGCAAAAUACUAAUUAUUUUGCUUUAUGUGUGUGCUACAUUUUAGAUGCAAUUGCUGAUCAACAUCUUUGGCUUCACGGUUAUUCAUGGAAACUGGAUGUGGCAAUGAAACAAAAGGAGUUGCACUGGUUGGGACUUGGGAGGCAUGGAGAUUUCAAGUACUAUCUGGGAUACUACUUACAUUGCUAAUAAGUUAACGUCUGGUCCUAAUACUAGGAUUCCCAGCUAUCUUAGUUUCAAGCCCUGUAUGCUUAUUUGAUUGAAGGUGGAAGUGGGACUCCUUUUGGUGCUUAAGUAAUAACUCAAUGAUAGCGGGAACUGGUUGAAUUAUCAAUAUACAUUUGGGCAUAGAGCAUGAGGAUGUAUGAAACUUCUGAACACUUUCAGGUUGUCGGACAAACUGCAACUAUGAACAGUAUGCCUCAUUUGACUCUUGUGGGGGUAGAGCAAUAAAAUAAACAUGUCAUCACUAGGCGAGUUCAAACACUGGAUGGCAAGGCGGUCAUCUAUUUGAAUACACUUAUUCGUUUCAAGGAGGUAGAAGGCGGUGCAGAAGCUGCAGUUUUGACCCCACUUGUGCUAGACAAUUUUUUUUCGGAGAUUUGUGCCAGCCAAUUUGGGUAUGAGUGAUGCUCACGGAGGCCAUUCUACGUAGCUGAUGGACUGUCAUGUCUAUAUAAUUUUUAUAUAGCUGACAAUUCAAUCAUGAAAUGCUAGGGCUCCAUGGAAGGAAAAGGAAAAUGCGUCUGCAAAAUCAGUAGAUUUUGUGAUGGAAGGAUUGGUAGAUUUGAUAUUAUCUUACAACCUACAAGAACACCGAAUGUGUGAAACAACAUUCGUUAUUGUCCAGCAACGCGACCAAAAAUCCACAAUGAUUGCAACACUGUAUUUAUUUGACCAUAUAUUUUUGGAAUAUUUCAUGUUUUGUCUAUA